AUACGGAGGAUCCGAGCGUUAUCCGGAUUUAUUGGGUUUAAAGGGAGCGUAGGCGGACGCUUAAGUCAGUUGUGAAAGUUUGCGGCUCAACCGUAAAAUUGCAGUUGAUACUGGGUGUCUUGAGUACAGUAGAGGCAGGCGGGAUUCGGGGUGGAGCGGUGAAAUGCUUAGAUAUCACGAAGAACUCCGAUUGCGAAGGCAGCCUGCUGGACUGUAACUGACGCUGAUGCUCGAAAGUGUGGGUAUCAAACAGGAUUAGAUACCCUGGUAGUCCACACAGUAAACGAUGAAUACUCGCUGUUUGCGAUAUACAGUAAGCGGCCAAGCGAAAGCGUUAAGUAUUCCACCUGGGGAGUACGCCGGCAACGGUGAAACUCAAAGGAAUUGACGGGG
rnacentral:rRNA from 1 species